AUGGUUGAGUGCAGGAUCAUGGCUGACCUGUCCAUCGCUGCUCCGAGCCUUGUAUCACUGCGCUGUGUCAUACCAUACCACCGUGCUCCGUCGUUCGAAAACUUGGGGUCGCUGGCUACCGGCACCAUCAUGUGAAAUGACUCUUUCUUGCAUGAUAAGUUUGAAUACAAGUACAAAGAUCGCGAUGAAGAUGCAUUUGAAUGUGAUAGCGGCGACGACAGUGACUCCGAUGAUGACCACUGUGAUAGUGAUACUGAUACCGACUUGAGCACUUCUGACAUAUUGGAUGGUGCUAAAGUUUUAGGUGGCCAAAAUGUUAUCCGCAGCCUUUCAAAUGCUACAAGUUUAGAGCUGAUAGCUGAUGCCGGAGAGUUGAUUCUUAAUAGGGAAUUGGAAAUAUGCCAAAUUUUUAGCAACCUGAAGGUGUUAGCCCUUGGUGAGUGGUGUAUGGCUGCCGACUUCUAUCCGUUAGUUUCAUUCUUGCAGCAUGCUCCAAAUCUGGAGUCUCUUUUUCUUAAACUUAAAACGGAUCAUGAGGAAAUAGAAGACAAUAUCAGACUGGAGGGUAUAUCAUUUGCUUGCAAGAACCUUACAAUGGUCAAGAUAAAAUGUCCCAAGGAUGAUGAAAGAGUUCCUGUGUUAACACAAAUGUUCAUGGCUAAUGGCAUACCCAUCGAAAAGAUAGAUGUCUGUCACCGUGAGACUCGCAAAACUUGUGAGUCAUGUAUUAUUACCGUAUCUUAA
rnacentral:rRNA from 1 species